rnacentral:rRNA from 1 species
ACGGUGAAAGAGAGCUUGCUCUCUGGAUCAGUGGCGAACGGGUGAGUAACACGUGAGCAAUCUGCCCCUGACUCUGGGAUAACAGUUGGAAACAGCUGCUAAUACCGGAUACGAGACGUGAAGGCAUCUUCAACGUCUGGAAAGAACUUCGGUCAGGGAUGAGCUCGCGGCCUAUCAGCUUGUUGGUGAGGUAAUGGCUCACCAAGGCGUCGACGGGUAGCCGGCCUGAGAGGGUGACCGGCCACACUGGGACUGAGACACGGCCCAGACUCCUACGGGAGGCAGCAGUGGGGAAUAUUGCACAAUGGGCGCAAGCCUGAUGCAGCAACGCCGCGUGAGGGACGACGGCCUUCGGGUUGUAAACCUCUUUUAGCAGGGAAGAAGCGAAAGUGACGGUACCUGCAGAAAAAGCACCGGCUAACUACGUGCCAGCAGCCGCGGUAAUACGUAGGGUGCAAGCGUUA